rnacentral:rRNA from 1 species
AGCAGCCGCGGUAAUUCCAGCUCCAAUAGCGUAUAUUAAAGUUGUUGCAGUUAAAAAGCUCGUAGUUGAAUUUCGGGAUCAGUUGGUCGGUCGUGCCUCGGUACGUACUGGUCAAAUUGAUUCCUACCUUCUGACGAACCACGAUGUCAUUAAUUUGGUGUCGCGGGAAAUCAGGACUGUUACUUUGAAAAAAUUGAGUGUUUAAAGCAGGCUCGCGCUUGAAUACAUUAGCAUGGAAUAAUGAAAUAGGACGUUUGAUUCUAUUUUGUUGGUUUCUAGGAUCGACGUAAUGAUUAAUAGGGAUAGCUGGGGGCAUUAGUAUUCAAUUGUCAGAGGUGAAAUUCUUGGAUUUAUUGAAGACUAACUACUGCGAAAGCAUUUGCCAAGGAUGUUUUCAUUAAUCAAGAACGAAAGCUAGGGGAUCGAAGACGAUCAGAUACCGUCGUAGUC